rnacentral:rRNA from 1 species
UACGUAGGGUGCGAGCGUUUAAUCGGAAUUACUGGGCGUAAAGCGUGCGCAGGCGGUUCGUUGUGUCGGUGGUGAAAUCCCCGGGCUUAACCUGGGAAUGGCCAUGGAAACUGGCGAACUGGAGUGCGGCAGAGGGGGGUGGAAUUCCGCGUGUAGCAGUGAAAUGCGUAGAGAUGCGGAGGAACACCGAUGGCGAAGGCAGCCCCCUGGGCUAGCACUGACGCUCAGGCACGAAAGCGUGGGGAGCAAACAGG